rnacentral:rRNA from 1 species
CCCGAAAAGUCGAAUGGGGAGAUUCAACGUCACCGGGGGCGGCUUCCGUGCGUUUGGCGAUGUUUGAGACGGUACCUCGUGUAUUUGUCGAUUUCACGCUUGCGCCGCGGUAUGCCCGUUAACGUCGGCGUGCACUUCUCCCCUAGUAGAACGUCGCGACCCGCUAGGUGUCGGUUUAAGGACCAAGGUCGUAGACUGUUUCGUUUGUCGCCUUCCGGGGCGUUCGAGCGUGAACAGGCGCUUGGCAUCCCGACCGUCUGCCUGGCGGUAUUCGAACUGAAGGCAUCGAGCCGCAUUUGAAUGCGUUCUUGACCCUCGGGCAAGCUCGCGCGGCAUUUAUUCCUGGAGGUUGCGAAGCCGUACGGUUUCGUCCCUGGGUGUCGCGCGGUUGUUGGCCACAGGUGCUCUCGAACCGGCUCACACACACGAUUGCCUGUCAGCGACGCUAUUGCUUUGGGUACUUUCAGGACCCGUCUUGAAACACGGACCAAGGAGUCUAACAUGUACGCGAGUCAUUGGGAUAACAAAACCUAAAGGCGCAUUGAAAGAGAAGAUCGACUUCGAGUCGAUUCAGGGAGGAUGGGCGACGGCUCCUUUUAGGGGUUACGUAGCCUCGCACUCCCGGGGCGUUUCGAUGUCAUUGCGACAUGGGGCGCACCAAGAGCGUACACGUUGGGACCCGAAAGAUGGUGAACUAUGCCUGGUCAGGAUGAAGUCAGGGGAAACCCUGAUGGAGGUCCGUAGCGAUUCUGACGUGCAAAUCGAUCGUCGGAACUGGGUAUAG